GGAUGAAAGACGGUUUCGGCUGUCACUUACAGAUGGACCCGCGGCGCAUUAGCUAGUUGUGAGGUAACGGCUCACCAAGGCGACGAUCGUAGCCGACCUGAGAGGGUGAUCGGCCACACUGGGACUGAGACACGGCCCAGACUCCUACGGGAGGCAGCAGUAGGGAAUCUUCCGCAAUGGACGAAAGUCUGACGGAGCAACGCCGCGUGAGUGAUGAAGGUUUUCGGAUCGUAAAGCUCUGUUGUUAGGGAAGAACAAGUGCAAGAGUAACUGCUUGCACCUUGACGGUACCUAACCAGAAAGCCACGGCUAACUACGUGCCAGCAGCCGCGGUAAUACGUAGGUG
rnacentral:rRNA from 1 species